CCACGGGGUGCUGCAGUGAGGAAUAUUGCACAGUGGGGGGAACCCUGAUGCAGCAACGCCGCGUGGAGGAUGACGCAUUUCGGUGUGUAAACUCCUUUUAUAUGUCAAGAAAAUGACGGUAGCAUAUGAAUAAGCACCGGCUAACUCCGUGCCAGCAGCCGCGGUAAUACGGAGGGUGCAAGCGUUACUCGGAAUCACUGGGCGUAAAGGACGCGUAGGCGGGUUGGAAAGUCAGGUGUGAAAUCCUACAGCUUAACUGUAGAACUGCACUUGAAACUUCUAAUCUAGAGUAUGGGAGGGGGAGAUGGAAUUAGUGGUGUAGGGGUAAUAUCCGUAGAUAUCACUAGGAAUACCUAAAGCGAAGGCGAUCUCCUGGAACAUUACUGACGCUAAGGCGUGAAAGCGUGGGGAGCAAACAGGAUUAGAUACCCCAGUAGUC
rnacentral:rRNA from 1 species